CCACCCGUCAGAGCAGAGCAUGCGUGGUGAGGUUCCAGGCAUUGAACGGGGCGGGGUGAAGCUGGCCUGACCAACAGCACGGGCUGCACGCAGAGGUUGUGUUACAGCAGUCUGAGGAGCAUGUGUACACUCAGUGCCUGGGCCGGAAAGGCAUGUGGGAACUUCAUUACUUAACCGCUAUCAGCGUUCUCCCACAAGUGGCAGAAUUUGCACAUUGUUCAUUGGAUUUAUCAGAUUUCUCAGAACCUAUCAAACCAGAGUGGAAAUAAGUCAUCGUCGAUUCUGAGGCACUGCCUAAGAAGAACCGAAAGAGAUUGCCUUCAAUUCCUGGUUUGGGAAGCGAACCCAGAGAUUCUGACUUUGAGGCAGGCAUACUACCUACUGUGCUACUUCACCACCUGGAUUGUCCAUGGAUAGAUUUCUCACUUCUAGUUCACUGGAAGCACAACGCUUUCCUAAGAAAAGAAGAUUUGUUACAAUGUAUCAACUUUGACAAUGCAUUUUGAGGUGUGGUCAAUGUUGUAAUGUAGGAUCAGGGCCACCAACUUGUGCACAGCAAGAGCCCACAGCUGCAGUGUGAUUAUGACCAGAUGAUCCGUUUUUGUGAUGUGGCUCCUGUGAUCCAUUUUCACCAGUAGACCCACGAACAAGAACCCCAACAAGAAACAGUUUCUGUUCCUGGGAUUUCCAAACUCCAGCCUGUGGGCUGUAUCCAUUUGAGGAAAAAAAUCUAAAUCACGCGGGUUUAGUCUCUGGAGAGAUCAGGGAUCCUUCUGGAAGAAGUCAUUCCAAACUCUGCUUCCUGUCCCUGACGCGCAGCAAAUUCCAUUUCCCAGUACCGCCUCGGUAAUUGAUAUUGGGCUCCGCUCCUCCGUCUCGAUGAAGGCGGAUAUAGGUCUAAAUUACUCCUCCUCGUUUCCCCUGAUAUAGAGCGCAUUGCUCCACACCCGGGGACGCUCUGAGAACGGGCAAAGCCGUGGAGGCAAGCCCCGCCCCCGAAACUUGACAUUACCAAUCGGAAACCAAUAUGGGAGCGGAGCCGGAAGCUCCAGUUCCUGCGGGUGAUUGUGAAUGACCCCAUCCGGGGAACCAGUCAGAGAGCGGGAGGAUGAUGGGCAUUGCGGGGAAGAGGAUGCGAUCCCAGUCUCCGACUCCAAGGGCUGCCAUUCACAGCGGCGCAUCUAAUUUCUAACACCGUCCACGUGACAGACACUCGGGCUCGCGCGCUCUCACAAUCGAAUUCACGAACUCGAGGCGCAACCGCUGCUGCGCGCAAUAGACCUACAGCUCCCGUCAGAUUAGUUAUGUAAAUAACAAAUAAGAAGAUCCUGAAGAUGACGCAAAGAGCUGUGGUAAUACUCUUCACAGCUUUAUUCAACACAGAGAAGGUUGACCAUGAAACCAUCAAUCAGGUCAGGGGAGCUUUGACAUAUCAUCAGAUCUGAAACUGGUCAGUGGUGUGGACCCUUCCAUCAGCACCAACCUUUCUGAAGGUUUGAAGUUGAGGAUUCGGAUGAGGCUGGAAAGAAGUGUGAGUUGCUUCAAGUAUGGUGAGAGCCCCAAUCCUUUAUCAACCCUCAUGAACCAUUGACUCACUCUUACAGGUGAGAGGACAUUCAAGUAUGAGCUCUGGGAGAAAGUUCACAUAAUCUCCUAACACUCAAGGUGCAAUUAUUGUAAAAUUGUUAACAGAAAGAAAGUCACAUGGAGAGAAAACAUUCAAAUAGGAAGUGUUUGCAAUGUUAUCUACGCUUGUGUAUCUACGACACAAUGACACUGGAGAGAAAAUGUUCAAAGGUGAGGCAUGUAACAAGAAGUCUGCACAGUUAUCGGGCUUGAUAAAACAUAAAGCACUUCACAUGGGGGCAAAAGCAUUCACAUGCAAGGUUUGUGAAAAAUCAUUCUCACAUUCAUUGAACUUCCGCAGACACCAACGAGUUCACACAGGGGAGAAACCCCACAAGUGCAAGAAAUGCAACAAGUCAUUCUGUCUCAUCAAGACUCUUGAUCCACCAGAGGAUUCAUACAGGGAAGAAACCAUUUGUGUUUGAGAUGUGUGAAAAGACAUUCUUGGAGUCAGCAAACCUUUGCAGACACCAACGAAUUCACACAGGAGGGAAACGUCACAAGUACAAGGAAUGCACCAAGGCAUUCUCAGAGUCAUCAAAGCUUCAAAAAUACCAACAAAUUCACAAAGGGGAGAAAACAUUCAUGUGUGAGGUCUGUGAAAAAACAUUCUUGCAGUUAUCAAAACUCCGCAUACACCAACAAAUUCAUACAGGAGAGAAACCAUUCACAUGUGACGUCUGUGACAAAUCAUUCUCUGAAUCAUCAACCCUCCGUGUUCAUCAACACAUUCACACAGGAGAGAAACCAUUCAUAUGUAAGGUUUGUGAUAAAACCAUUCUCACAAUCAUCAAAUUUCCACAAACACCAAUGUAUUCACACAGGGAAGAAACCAUUCACAUGUGAGAUGUGCUUCAAAUCAUUCUUGCGACCUGCCGACCUCUGGGCACACCAACAUAUCCAUAGAGGGGAAAAAUCAUUCACUUGUGAGUGGUGCGACAAAUCGUUCUACAACUCAUCAAAACUGUUGGUCCACCAGGGGAUUCACACAGGCAAGAAACCAUUCAUGUACGAGGUGUGUGAGAAAACAUUCUCAGAUUCAUCAAUUCUCCGCAGGCACCAACGGGUUCACACAGGGGAGAAACCAUAAAGGUGCAAGGAAUGUAACAGAUCAUUCUCAGAGUCAUCAAACCUUCAAAGACACCAACAAAUUCAUACAGGGGCGAAACCAUUCACAUGCAAGGUCUGUGAAUAAUCAUUCUCAGCAUUAUCAUACACCAAUGCAUUCACACAGGAGAAACCUGACACAUGCAAAGAAAGCGACAAGUCAUUUGCAGAGUCUUCAAAGCUUCAGAGAUACCAUCAAAUUCAAAAAGUAGAGAAAGGUGUGUGACAAAUCAUGCUCAGACUCAUCAACCAUCCGUAAACCACAACAAAUUCACACAGGAGAGAGAGCAUUCAUGUGUGAGGUAUCUGAUAUAUCAUUCUGAAAAUCGUCAAAGGCUCUAAUGCAUUCACACAACAGAGAAACUAUUUAUGUACAAGGUGUUCGAUAAACUGUUCACCCAAUCUCCUGCUCCAUCAGAGGAUUGACAAAGGGAGGAACUCUUUAAAUGGGAGGUUUCCAAUAAAAGUAUCAUGACUUCUUCAAACCUCCUGGGACAUGAGAGGAUUCAGAAAGUAACAAACUCUUCAGGUGUGAUUGUAUGACAAAUUUUGCACCGACAUCUCCAACCUGAGUUCCAGAGGAUCCACACUGGUGAAAAACCAUUCAAGUGUGUUGCAGAAGGCAAUGACCUAAAGUUGACAAAAUGGCCACUUGGGGCAUUUUUAGCGAACAAAACAUAGCUGAAAGGGUUUGACAGUUACAUACAGGAGAUGUUCACGCCUAGACUUGUGGUCUCCAUACAGAUAUACUGGAUAAGAUGAGAUUCUCUGACGGAAGUAAUAUCAGGGAAGUCAAUCAGGCUUCUGUAAACAGGCAGUUCUAAACAUAUAAACAUUUUAACAAUGGGCAGUUUUGAAACGCCUAAUGUAGCCACAGGCCCAAGCUUGUUAUUUAGUAAGAAGUAGAAGAAGAUUCUGAUCCUGCAGUAUUCUGAAUAUUUUAGGUAAUUGAAAAAUUAUAAAGGUAACAAACAAAUUAAUAGGAAAAGGUUAGAUGCAUUCCUUGAGCAAAUGUUUGUCGGCAGUCAAAAGGUCCAAUGCAUUACUAGGGAAGAUAAAGGUAAUAAAUGGUUUAAAUAUGACCUCCAAAAAAUAUCUAUUGGCACAGGAGGAGGGCAGAGAAAGUUUGUAAAAAGAGAGACCACAAUUGAAACUUACGUGCAGAUUUAGAUAAAUUGAACAAGUUCUUAUAUCCCAAGAUCAAGGGAAGUGUGACAAAGACAGAUGACAAAACACAGAGUGAAGAUGUGGUUAUGUCCCCUAGUUGUAUGCGGAAUUUAAACAAGUUUCAUUUCAAGAUUUGUUAAAGUUGUAAAGUGAUUGAAUUUCAACUUCAUCAGUAGAAUUCAAAUAGAUGUUUUUUAUGAAGAAAAGAUAAUUAGCCAUGGAAAGUUUUCAAGAGUAGAAACAGUAAAUAUUUACUUAAAAAUGAAACUUAGUUUAAAAUUCACUUACAGCAUGUAAAUAGCAGUGGUUGUAAACUGCCAUUGCAAGUCAGAAACACUUUGGUUGAUCUCUCAGGCUGAAGUGAGAGAGGGAUUGUUUUCAAUUUGUCAGCUGUGUCACAGAAUUGUAGGAACUUUAUAUCAGAGUUGAUUUUAAAGUCGUUAUGAUAACUGGUAGAAAUUAAUAUCCUUCCUAAUCUGCCAUACUAAAGUUAGUACAGAAUUUGGAAGCGCGCUUAACGAUAAACAAGUAUUUAGGUUAUUGGUAAAUAUCUGGGAAUGAAUAAAGCUGUCAGAAGAAUUUUGAGAUCCUAAAGACAGAUAAUGGAGGUAUCUAGUAGACUUUGGGAGAAUGCAGACAGCCUGAGGUCCUCCCUUAGAGUUGUCCAUCAUUUAUUGUGUGUUUACUGGAUUGGAUGUAUAGAUUAGGGGGAUGUGGCUAACUGACAUCUAUUUAGUGUAACGCAAAAGGUAUAAAAAUGUUGUAUUUAGCUGGGGAAUCAAUAGUGUCAUUGACCUCUCUUCCGAUCUGAGCUCUCAUAUAAGAGGGCAACUGAGCCCCACAUGAAAACCAGAUUCAGAGUGGUCUCUCGGCUCUCCCACAUAUGUGACAAAGGAGCUUUAAAGAAACAUUACUGGUGCUGCUGAACACAGAAUUCAAGACUUCUCUUUAAUUUUUCUCCCUUCAACAAGGUAUGUGGUGUGUGACCAGGCUUUCAUACAGUCAGAGUAUUUCCUGAUCCAUAAAAACAUUCAUGAAAAUCUCUAUUGGUUUAAAUUCUGUAAGAAAGCCUUGUCCUGGAACAUAAAUGCACUCGAUUGGACAUCAAACCCUUCCUGUGUGAUAUGCCAGGAUUAUUUCACCUCCUCCUCCUCUCUCACAGAGGAUAUCUCCACAUGGUCUUGGGGCCGGGACACCCAAUUUCAUUGCACUGAGAGCUGACUGUUGUUUAUCAUCCAGUGCUCACAUAGGGGAGCUGUCAUUCUAAAGUACUGGCUGUCUCACCAGUGUCUGCCUCAAUUCUUUCCUACCAAACAUUCCAAUUGUUUUAAGGAAGUCAAUUUAACCUUUGACCAGAUUGCAGAAACACAGCCUUCAAAGGUGGAUGUACUUAAGACCAGAAUGGAAGAACCCCAGAGUUCUCGGAGAGAGAUGGGACCAGAGGUGCCAAAGAUAGAGAGAGGUGAGGCCAUGGAACAUUCAAUACUUGAGCAUGAGGAUUUUAAAUUGGAGGCUCUGAAGUACUUGGAACAAUGUACAGGUCAAGUACAGGGGUGAUAGGUGUGUAUGAAGACAGAGAAUGCAAAGUUUUAGUUGAGUUGAAGUUUAUAGAGGGUGCAAGAUGGGAAGCUGGACAGGAAAGCAUUGGAAUAGUGUAGUCUAGUCUGGAAGCUACAACAGCAUAAAUGAAGGUUUCUUCAGCCUAUUGACUAAUGUGAAGCUGGGAUGUUCGAAAUGCUGUAGAGGGGGAAAUCAGGUGAUCUUUGUGAUGUAGAGGGUAUGGGAUUGGAAGCUCAACUGGAAUUUGAAGAAGAUUACACUGCCCAAUUUUUGUUGCGGAUGGGAGUGGAGAAAAAAAUCAUAUGUAAGAACUGGAGUAAUCUAUUCAUGUUGUUAAACCAUUCAGUUAGAUCACAGUUGAUCUGUAUCUUAAUUCUAUCUACAUGCCUUGACUGUCAUCCUUAAUUUCCCCUGUCAUAGUCCGACCAGACCAUUGGGUUGUUCUGUCAUUCAAGAGAUAGGACUAGUGGUGGGUGUGACCAAAGCAUCACCAUGCCUCAUGAGAGAGGAGAGGUUGACGAGUCCUUCAUGGUAAUGUGCGAGAAUUGAACCCAUGAUGUUGGCAUAAUUCUGCAUCACAAACCAGCUGCUCAGCCAACUGAGACCCAUUGACACUUUGCUGCGGUGAAGAGGCUUGAGUGUUCUGUUAAUCCUGAGAGCAAUACCAUUAGGAGUUCUCAACUCCUGGGAGUCAGCCCAUGAUGGUAAGGUCAGAAGGGAGGAACAAGACAAAGCGUAAUCCAAAACAAAUUAUCAGCGGCGAUCCAGAGAGAAGAUACAUGAUAUCAAUGGCCCUAAAGGAGAUGCAGAGAGCAAGCAGAGGGCAGUGGAGGGAAGAAGGUGGUGGUUCCACCUUUUUCUGGAGAGGAAAACAUGAGGAUCAAUGCAGGACACAUGAAAUUAAAUUCACCAUCAAGAAUGAACUCCAAUGAACUCUUAGAGACUCAGCAAUGGCAUCAUGACUCAAUGGCAAUGGUUGUGACUGUCUAUGCUUCAAUCCUUGAGUUGAAAGAAAGCUUCUCAUCCACCCUGGAAGCUUGAUGCUGAGAGAGUGCAUCAACCCUAUCCUAAAUGAUAAUGGCUAUUAUGAUCAAAUUAUCACUUGUGCAAAAUCAUGAAAGAAUGUUUGGCUCUGACAGAUGACUAGUCUACUUGAGAUUACAGUGCAAGCAGGAGGUGUCUCAAAAAUUUGAUCAACAGGUAACUUUAGCUAUUUAACUUUGUACCUUUGCAUUAAUGUAAGAGUGGCUUUCUCCACAGCCAGGAUGUUGUUGUGAAUAAAAAAUAAAUUCUGCACAGCACACAAAUAAGUGGUAUGAGUUCUGUAUAAUGUUGCAAUACCAGAUAUAUAGGCUGUACAUCUCAAUAACAUAUUGAAUAUCAAACAACACAUCCCUGUGUUGUUUGGCAGUGGGCAAGAUGUGAAUUGUGCUGAGCUUAGAUUACAGUGUCCAGCACUAGAUGCAAUUCUGCACUUGAACAACAAAUUACCAAAUGAUCCAGACUGUGCUUGGAAUUACACUGGAAACAAAUCUAAGAUUAUCAGUCAGGCUCGGAGUGUUAAUUUGGUUGCAUAUUCAUGUUACAGACAUCAAAGAUUCAUUUCAUGUUGUGGGAAAAAUCUUCAUCAUUUAAAAUUGUUUUUUGUUGU